AGGCCAGCCCAUGCUGAAAGCUCACCAACUCCAGCACUCACAUUAGGUAAUACACCAGCAAGGACUCCUCAUGUCUCACUGGGUUCCCCUUCCACCGUCAGAAGCCAAGGAAAUUUCCAAAAUAUUCCAUCGAUGUCCAGAGCAGCACUGGAAGAGCAGUGAGCAUGGGGAGAGAAGUGCUUUUGCUUCAGAACCAAAGUGGGUGUAUGAAAUCUGUUCCUCUCCCCCAGCUGCACAUUCUAAGGAAGCCGAGUGCCAGAGGUGGUCAGAGGCUGAUAUGUAGAAUCCGAAAAGUACAGGCUGAGCCAUGGCAGGAGGAGGAUCCGACGUCUACCUUCUUCCAGUUUGGAGCGUCCAUCCAGCAGCAAGCCACGGUCAUGCUGAAGAUCAUGCAGGAUUAUGACUGGCAUGUUUUCUCCCUGGUAACCACCAUCUUCCCUGGCUACAGGGAAUUCAUCAGCUUCGUCAAGACCACAGUGGACAACAGCUUUGUGGGCUGGGACAUGAAGAAUGUGAUCACACUGGACACUUCCUUUGAGGAUGCAAAGACACAAGUCCAGUUGAAGAAGAUCCACUCUUCUGUCAUCUUGCUCUACUGUUCCAAAGACGAGGCUGUUCUCAUUCUGAGUGAGGCCCGCUCCCUUGGCCUCACCGGGUAUGAUUUCUUCUGGAUUGUCCCCAGCUUGGUCUCUGGGAACACGGAGCUCAUCCCAAAAGAGUUUCCAUCGGGACUCAUUUCUGUCUCCUACGAUGAUUGGGACUACAGCCUGGAGGCGAGAGUGAGGGACGGCAUUGGCAUCCUAACCACCGCUGCGUCUUCUAUGCUGGAGAAGUUCUCCUACAUCCCCGAGGCCAAGGCCAGCUGCUACGGGCAGAUGGAGAGGCCAGAGGUCCCGAUGCACACCUUGCACCCGUAAGAAAGGGCUUUUUGUCUCCCAAUUUUGCUGUUGUCAUUGCUUGCUUACAUACUCAUUGUUGGAAAUACGCACUGAAAAUGCAGAAUGUUAUGUGUUUACUUGCGGGAUUUUUAUUUUGCUCUCCUCUCUCUUUCUCUCAUCUCCUUUGUAAGAUAAGUCACAUCAAACUUUGUUUCCUGCAACUUACCUUUUUCUUCUACUCAACAAUAUACCUUGGAAACC
rnacentral:sRNA from 1 species